AUUUGGUGGUGAAGGCAAAUGGCACAUAGUUUCUUAAAUCUCUCUCAAUAUUCAUAUAAGCUCUCUCCAUUGAGUUGCCUAAUUCUUGAAAUAUCUUUUCUGAUGGU
rfam:Glycine soja cultivar W05 scaffold94_21, whole genome shotgun sequence.